CCCCUCCCCCCUGUCCUCUCAGUACAGUUCCCGUCCUCAGUCUUCCUCUAACUGAGAGCACGGAGAGGUACCUUCACUCGUCGUAAUAAUUGAAGUACAAAUUGUCCAGGAAAGUUCUCUGAUGUUACCGGAUCGUUAUACGUGAAGGACCUUCCGGUGCUCGAGCAGUGUUGUACGGGCACCAGGGAAGACAUGCCGACUUUAUUGACUGGUCGCCGCCAGGACAAUUUACUUUUACAUCUUUCUUAAAAGGACAUUGCGACGGUGCAGCAGGAGGAUGGCGCUCUUCUGGGCCCACCAGUACACCGCCAAGCCUCCCAGUUGGAUUCUCAAUCUGUAACUGUUUUUGAAAACACCGACACCGUUGCCACAGGAGCGUGUGUGUGGUGUUCCUUUCCACAUCACAUCUCCAUGCAACAGGACCAUGCAACACACAUAUUAUAAGUAAAUGAUACAAUUUAAGAUAAUUUGUUAAAAUAAAUAAAAAAAAAAAAAUUGAAUUGGCA